AAAAUUGCCUUUUCCUUCCAGCGACGCAUAGUAGCUUUUGUUUGUCUCGAGAGGGAAGGCAUAUUUCCUCUCGAGACAAACAAAAGCUACCAUGUGUCGCUGGAAGGAAAAGGCAAUUUUAA